rnacentral:rRNA from 1 species
AACGCGAAGAACCUUACCGGGGCUUGACAUCGGAGGAACAUCAUAGAAAUAUGGUUUCGGAGCAAUCCGACUUCCAGACAGGUGCUGCAUGGCUGUCGUCAGCUCGUGCCGUGAGGUGUUGGGUUAAGUCCCGCAACGAGCGCAACCCUCAUCCCUAGUUGCCACCGGGUAAUGCCGAGCACUCUAGUGAAACCGCCCCGGAUAACGGGGAGGAAGGUGGGGAUGACGUCAAGUCCUCAUGGCCUUUAUGUCCAGGGCUACACACGUGCUACAAUGGUCGGUACAAACCGUCGCAAAGCCGCAAGGUGGAGCUAAUCGGAAAAAGCCGGCCUCAGUUCGGAUUGGAGUCUGCAACUCGACUCCAUGAAGCUGGAAUCGCUAGUAAUCGCAGAUCAGAACGCUGCGGUGAAUACGUUCCCGGGCCUUGUACACACCGAGACGUA